rnacentral:rRNA from 1 species
UACGUAGGGGGCAAGCGUUGUCCGGAUUUCUUGGGCGUAAAGAGCGUGUAGGCGGCCAGACAAGUCUGCUGUGAAAACUCGAGGCUCAACCUCGAGCUGUCGGUGGAAACUGUCUGGCUAGAGUCCGGAAGAGGAGAGUGGAAUUCCUGGUGUAGCGGCGAAAUGCGCAGAUAUCAGGAAGAACACCCGUGGCGAAGGCGGCUCUCUGGGACGGUACUGACGCUGAGACGCGAAAGCGUGGGGAGCGAACAGG